rnacentral:sRNA from 1 species
GUCGGAAUCAACUACCAGCCACCAACUGUUGUUCCAGGAGGAGAUCUCGCCAAGGUACCACGUGCCGUAUGUAUGCUCUCCAACACCACCGCCAUCGCUGAAGCCUGGUCUCGCUUGGACUACAAGUUCGAUCUUAUGUACGCCAAGCGCGCCUUCGUUCACUGGUACG